rnacentral:misc_RNA from 1 species
CAACCAUCAAGCCCCCGGGCUUGUGUUGGGGACCUGCGGCUGCCGCAGGCCCUGAAAUCCAGUGGCGGGCUCGCUGACACACCGAGCGUAGUAGAUUUACAACCUCGCUUUGGGAGUGCUGCGGGUGCUAGCCGUAAAACGACCUUGUCUUUAGCACUA